rnacentral:rRNA from 1 species
AUUGAACGCUGGCGGCAGGCCUAACACAUGCAAGUCGAACGGUAACAGGAAGACGCUUGCUUCUUUGCUGACGAGUGGCGGACGGGUGAGUAAUGUCUGGGAAACUGCCUGAUGGAGGGGGAUAACUACUGGAAACGGUAGCUAAUACCGCAUAGCGUCGCAAGACCAAAGAGGGGGACCUUCGGGCCUCUUGCCAUCGGAUGUGCCCAGAUGGGAUUAGCUAGUAGGUGGGGUAACGGCUCACCUAGGCGACGAUCCCUAGCUGGUCUGAGAGGAUGACCAGCCACACUGGAACUGAGACACGGUCCAGACUCCUACGGGAGGCAGCAGUGGGGAAUAUUGCACAAUGGGCGCAAGCCUGAUGCAGCCAUGCCGCGUGUAUGAAGAAGGCCUUCGGGUUGUAAAGUACUUUCAGCGGGGAGGAAGGGAGUAAAGUUAAUACCUUUGCUCAUUGACGUUACCCGCAGAAGAAGCACCGGCUAACUCCGUG